UACGAAGGGGGGCAAGCGUUGUUCGGAAUUACUGGGCGUAAAGGGCGCGUAGGCGGUGCUCUAAGUCAGGCGUGAAAGCCCCUGGGCUCAACCCGGGAAUUGCGCUUGAUACUGGAGCGCUUGAAUCCAGGAGAGGUUGGUGGAAUUCCCAGUGUAGAGGUGAAAUUCGUAGAGAUUGGGAAGAACACCGGUGGCGAAGGCGGCCAACUGGACUGGUAUUGACGCUGAGGCGCGAAAGCGUGGGGAGCAAACAGG
rnacentral:rRNA from 1 species